CGUUCCCCCGAGCCUGUGGGGCGGUUCUGCGUCCCCUGCCCGCUCCUCUCCUCUCCACGGUGGGGUGCGGCUCGGGGGAGAGACGCGUUCUGGGCAAUUUUCUAAAGUUGGGAACGACUGAAAGGCCUUGAGCAGUUUGGGAGCGUCGCGAGUGAGGUGCUGAAGCUGGGCAGAGGGUCGCUGGGGGCUGCCUCCGCAGAAAGGGCGUGUCCGUGGGCGAAGGUGCCCCCGCAAGCCUGCGGAAGCGCGUGACUUCGCGAAUCCCGGGCCCGGGGCGGUGCCGGAGCCCCACCCCCGGCCGGCCGCGCCGCUCCGCAACCAGACUAGGCGGUCGAGCUGGGGAGGGGGCGGGGGUCCGGGGGCUGGGUCCCCGCGGAACUUCCAGAUCGGAAGUGUGGCGGGUCUCUCAGGAACGCAUAUUUUCUUUUCGGAUUCUCCGAGAAGGGGUGGAGAAACAGGAUGGGAACCGGAUUGGUUGCAGUGUGGCACAGACCUGGAACCUUCCUGAAAGAGGUUGGGGCAGGCAGUGACUGUUCAGACGUCCAAUCUCUUUGGGACACCUCUUCAGCGCUGUCUUCCCUGCCUCUGCCUUUAGGACGAGUCUCAAACACCAACAAACUCAAGGCACGUCCCCUCUCUCAGGUCAGCUGCGAAGGGACGGGAGCAAGAGAGAGCCUCUCCCUCCUUCUACUUCGAGUUUUUGUUUGUUUGUUUCAAAAUAUUAAUGGACGAUAAAACAACACGGAUUUGUCACCUCCUAGCGAAGAGGAAGCUACCGCCACCAACCCCCUCAAGCAUGCCCGGGCACUUCUGGGGACAAUCGGACGUGGCAGGAGUUGGCAUGCCCAAGAUGGAGCUGGGAAGGAUGACCCAGAGUGGAAGGCGUGGGCCGGUGCUCCAGGUCUCAGCUUUCGCCGGCGUCGAACCACACAACUUUGCCAGCUUUGCACUUUGCCUUUCCCUAUUGUGAGGCAUCUGGGACCGUCCUAUCAAGGCGCUUCAAAAGUGUAAGGACAGAGUGCUGGGGACAGGAACGUACCAGGGGCCCAGAAGAAUUCACUAGCGCGGCCAAACACUAAGACCAGGUUUCCUCCCUGCGUAGUGGUCGUUGGUUGUGCACGGGCUGCGCACGAAGACUGAAUUUCUGAGAAAUGGAAACUGCAGGAGAAAAAUCAAAUAAACUUAGAGGCCUGCGAAGCUCUCCCUCUCGUCGCUCUGGGAUCCCUCUAAGCUGACCUGCAACUCAUACACCUUCUCCCCCUGGAGGAUGGGCCUUUCCCAGGCACAAAGUGCGUGUGCCCCACUGGGCUUUUGCACACAAGAGUGGUCUGAAUCCUGGAGAGGCUGACACCGAGGUGUCUUGAAGGAGGCAGGCACACUCUCAUGCUUCCCCACCUAGGGUUUCGCCUUUCUUCUAAUAUUUAGGAUUCCCAGUGAAGGGUACUCCACACACACCCUCUCCCUACCCCUAAUCCCACCCCAUUGUGUCUGAUCCCACAAUUACUCCCAGGGUAUCUAAACUCACAGUUUUUGCGCUCAAAAAACAUUGCUGUCUGCAGGGAACGGGUGGAGCCCUUCUCAGAAGCUCCCGGGGGCGAGUCCAUUUUAAGAAUGAGUUGAAGUAGGAAAGAAAACACAGAUGCUGUCUUUGCAUUCGACAUUCUAUCACCAGCAAGAGAAUAUGUAACUCCUGUUCUUUCCUUCAUUAUUCCAUGAAUUACCUUCUUUCUCUAGGGAUCCACCAGUUGGUGAUUUAGGGCUUUUAAAUAUUGUGCUUGUUAUGUAUUUAACAAAAUGCAAUAUGUCUACUGGUGGCAUUGUUUCAUUGGGAAAUUAGAAAAGUAGAAGCUACAUACUUUAGCUCCUAGGUGGUCUCUAGAAAGUUGGCCUCAUGCUGGUUGGCUAAAUAAUAAGUGUUUAGGAUUUGAAAGAAAGAAAGAGAGUUGAAGGCCUGGUGACAGAGUUUGUGAGAAACCAAAGAUGUAACACUCUGGCAUUUGUUGAGGGGAUGAGGAAGAACUUUUGAAAAAUAAGCUAUUCUAUUCAGUUUCGUGCAGAUUUAUUGCAGUUGCUUCAUCGAAGAAGAGUAAUGUUUAGAGUGGAAUAAUUGCAGAUGCUAGUGAUGAAAUCUAAAGGAAACCUCUACUCAUAGUUAACAAAGUAUUUUGUUGUUGUUGUUUAAAUACUUAUCUCAUUGCUUUCUUUCCUUUGCAGAAUCAUUUUCCUAUAAAAGCUUCCAUUAGGUGUCAGUCUGACUGAACUGGUUCUUAUUUAAGUUUGGGGUGAAAAUGUUCCAUCAUCAGACCUUUUAAGAUAAGAAAGUGGGAAAAAUUAAAACUUUAUUAAGUUGAAAUUACUGGAGGUAAUUUUUAUUGUUACAAGGCAGCUUUUUUCUUUCCAGAAAAAUAAUGUAAAAGUCUAUCACCACUAGUCAAUUACUGAUUUUGCCCUGUCACUGUCCAUAGCCAAGAUUAAGGAAGUACAAAAUGCUUGUUUGUGCUUUUCAUGCUAGAUGCAAGUAGUAUUAAGUAGUCAUAAUUUUUGGAUGGCUUUUCAAUUGAUGUCCUAAUACUAGAAGGGUAAGCAGCCUUUUUCUAAUAUUUGUUUUGCUUUACAAAGGUGAUAGAAAUUUUUCCUGAAAAAAGGAACAUAGAUUCAGCUUAAGCUGUUCAUUUGACAAUACUGAGGGCACAGUAAAGGAGAAGGGAGACAAAUUGUGAAAAUUACUUUUGUCCACUAGUUUUACUUUAAUAAAGCCUGCCUAAAUACUCAGAAUUUAUGAACACAAUUUGUGAUGUAUAGGUGGGAGAUUUUAGGUUGCCCAUUUAAAUUUAUAUAAUGUCUAUAAAUGAUCAAUUUUAUACUAUAAUAUUCAUUAAUAAGUGUAAGAAGAAACAUCAGCUUGAUUGGUCGUUUGCUACCGGGUCCCAAGUAAGCAGAUUGAUAGAAACUGCAUUUUUCAGAAAAUUUGCUUAUUUUAUUCUUUGUAUUUGUGAAUCCUGUUCUGAUGUUGUUGCUUGAAUAGAAUUGUGGGGAGUGGUGAUGGUAUUCAUGGUUAAAGAUCCAUAGAGCAUCAUGACAACCCCGUGAACUUUCCCCGAGGCCAUUGUGAGCCCUAGAAUGAUGUGGCUGUUGGUGUCAGAGCAAUGGCAAUCUAGAACCAGAACAGAGGUCCCAGUGAAAGUCCAAGCAACGGCAAGAAACGAUGAAGUAGCAUUUUGAUGGAAGGAAUAUUCCAUAAACCCUAUUAUCAAUUUUUGUCUUAUAUUCCACAUUAGUCAUGAGAAAUACUCAAAUAUAAAAAUAUACAACAAAGAUAGAGAUGAUGGGUAUAUUGGGAAACAUUUUUGUGUUUUAUGUAGGGCAGAGGAGAAGUACUAAGGACAUAGAAAGAAAGACAGUAUAAGGCCAUCACAGUUGUUCACCAUCUUGUCAAUAUAUACAGGUGCAGCUACCAUUGUAUUACAGAAAUGACAGAAUGAUGUUCUUACAGUGUUGGAAAGUAGUGUGUUCUGCAUAGGAGACUUACUAUUUAAAAGUAAAUUUCUUUUGGAUGUAUUUUCAUUAAGAAGAAAAAAUGUAAUAAUGACAUCAGAAUAUUUAAGGACUUUUAAAUCAUUUAGCUAUUGAAUUUAGUUAUUGAUAGCUGUACAACUAUAAACACGAAUGCUAAAUAGAUUUUAAGCAAAUAGCUUUGUAGUACAAUUUGUUUUUUAAAUGUUUUCAGAUUUUUAUCUUAGUGCUUAUACUUUAAAUCAUGACUUACAAGUCUUAUGUUUAAGUCUAGAAAACAUUUUGCAUGGGUGUAUAAAAUAAACAUUUUAGUUGAGGAAACAAUGCAGUUCAUCCAAAAAAAACAUAAGCCAGAAAAGAUAUAUUAUAAAAUUUAAAAUUUCUUGAAAUGUGUUUAUUACCCAGCAAUUAGUCGAGUUUGUGGAGUGCAGCCUAACAAUAAAAUCAGUAUAUCUGUAUAUUUGUAUCAUUGACCAGCUCAAAAAUGUAUUGCCAGCUAUAUCUUGUGAGUUCUGAGUUCUGUUAUCCUGGCUAAUAAUAAUGUGAGCUAAGCAAGGCAGUCUGAUCUUCAACACAAUUACAAUAUUAUAAUGCAUAUGCAAGGGUAAAGACAACACUUCAUUUGCUUUGUUUGUGGAAAAGGCCUUUGAGACUCCUAGUAUUUGAAAAUAUAUACAUAUAUAGUAGAUCAAGCUAGAACCAAAUGUUAAAAACCUGAGUCCUAAAGCAUGCAGUUCAAAGAUAUUAAAUAAGGGUUAUUGCCUUUAUUAAUUUUGAACCAAUACUGAAUCUCGUUCAGUUAAAUUACAAACUAAAGAAGACAUUUUGCUGGAAUCUGUUAAUAUUAUGUUUUCAGUUCAAAUGCAAUUUAUAUCAUAAUAUGCUUUUUAAAAAGUUGACAAACUAUAUUACAAUAGUGACAUAAUUGCAUAAUUUGAAAGUAGUGUCUAUUUGUAAACUUGAAUGAAAUGUGUGCUUUUUGGAAACACUUUUUCUGAAAAGAUUAUUUUUAUAAAAAUGAUACAUUUUAAUUGGAAAAUUGAUAUUUCUUGCAAUUUUGUUUUUAAAAUUUGUAUUCAAUACAUGAGUGAGUAUUAAUUGUUUGAAGCCUAUUUUUGUCUCUCUAAGCUAGUGUAGUCAAUUUCAAGAACUGGUUCAAACAAGUCUCAAGAUAAACUAAAAAUUACUCAUUUAAAAUAGUUUUUUAUAUAUCUGCCAAACAGUCCACUAGCUUUUGUACUCCAAGAAGAAUGAAUGAAUGAAUGAAUGAAUGAAUGAAUGUCAUGCCUGCUAUUCUGUCAGAAGCAGAUAUGAGAAAAAGAUCUUUUCCUUUGUAAUAGAAAUAUAUCAUGAUAAGACUUCCAAAUAUCCUGGAUUGUUUUACAGAUAACUACACAGGAAUUAAAGUUGUAGAAUGAUUACUUUAUGGAUCCAGUUUCAUGUAGUUUUUUUUCAUAACUGUUAUUUAUAUAGGAUUUGGUGUUUACUGAAACAAAGCAAAUUAGAGAAUUGAGGCCGUUACACCAAGAAAUCUCAAAUUUCAUUUUGUCCCUCAAUGACAUGAUACUUAAGGAGAGAGAAUCUCUCCUGUGGUAGAAAGAACUUUGGAAUAAGACUAGAAAAUCUGAUUUCGAGUACAGAUUCUGUUGUGAACUAUGACAAUGGACCUGUCACACAGCUUGCCUUGUCUUCAGUUGUCUCAUCCAUAAGAAGGGCUAGAUUUAGAUUCGCCUAAAGCCUUUUUACCUCUUUAGGGUUCCCUUUCAAAGAAAGUCUUUUUUUUUGUGUGUGUGUGUGUGUGUGUGUGUGGUCUGAAUCUAUUCUUCAUUUCAUGUAAAGAUGGCGUGCCAAUUGAUAUCACAACUAAGAAGCUUUUAAAAAGUAUUCACCAACAUUUUAUCUUGGUAUUAAAUAAUAAAAUGGUCUUUAAGAUUUUUACUUAAAUUCUUAAAGCAUGAAACACAUGGAAAUAUUUGUUGCUUUUUCAUACUUCAUUUUUUAUUUGAAGUUUUAGUAGGGAAAAAAAGCCCCCAAAGAAUGCUUUACAGAUUCAUUCUAAUGUGUUAGCAUGGGAGUACAUGCAUAUGUAUAUCUGUAUAAUAAAUUUGAAGCUACUCAAACCGUAGAUCUAUCUUCAUAAGCAUUUUAGCCUAAUGAGGCCAAAUCACAAACAACUCUAUUCAAAGUUGAUUUAUAUGAUUGUAGCGGAUAAAGAAUGAACAUGAAGAGUUGGCCUCUAAAAAUGUUUACUCCUGUGUAAAUGUUUAUACUAUUAAAUUCAAUUACAAUAUUUGGAAGAGCGUGAAAAUUACUGUGUUUGUUUCCAUUCUGUUAAAAGGACCAAUAAUUGUCUAGGAUAUUUAAUUCUUCUAAAAUGGUUAAUCUUUUAAAAUACCUAGUCCAGUGUUUGGCACAUAGUAGGUGCUCUAAAUAUUUAUGAAUUUUGUGAAAGCAAUGAUAUCCUUUUGGGGCAUAUGUUAAUAUAAAUUUUACAUUUUUUCAUAAUUACUUAAAGUCACUAUUAUAUAAAAUGAUUGUUGUACUGCAUAUAUUUAAGUUUGAUUUAAUGUUAGACAUAAAUUUUAAUUCUCAGAUUUGUGUACUAAUAGUGCAGUUCUUCUUUGCCAGGAAAGAAAAUACAUUGUCUCUAGUUAUUUGAUAUAACUUUUAAAUAAUGGAAAAAUCCAUGAGAACAUUGCUUUUAAGCUGGUAUUCUUUUUGAAACUCCAAGUAGCUGUUUAAUCUACUACUGAAAUAGAAAAUUUUAGUCCAUGUGAAUGUUACCUAAUGUAUUUUAUUUAAUAUUAAAUGUAUACAUAUUUGUAAGAAUUUAUAAAGUUUUAAGAAGUAAUCAAUAGAAACGUACUUUAUGCAAUAUAAUAAUUACUGUGAUAGGUAUGUUUUCAAAGCUAAAGAUCUGUAUAACUUUUUUCUUAAUUUUAAAAAAUUAUUUACUAGGAAAACAGACUAAGUUACAAUUUUAUUUGAAAGGUGUGACUCUCUGGGAUGGUCAAUGUAUAGUAAAUAUAAGUUGACUUUUUAAUCACAAAAUAAUACACUCAUUGUCUAAAAAUUAAAAUAAUAUGCUUUAUCAGCUAUUGCUUUAAUCAGAUAGUUUACAUGCUAUCCAUUCUCAGUUUAAUUAUGGGUAUAAAAUAUUAUGUCCAUUGAAAACUUUGACUGAUUUGUGUGCUACAUGGAAUCAAACACAAAAAGAAUAGAGAUUUAAAGAGAAAAAAUUAAUUAAAAAAUAAAAACUGAGAAUAAGUUCAAUAAAAGUUCUACAAAGUUUUCAAAAGUAAUUGCCUUCAAAUAUGUAUCUGGGGGUAGGAGUAUGCGGUUUGGAAGUCAUUUAUUCAUACUUUUAUUAAAAUAUCUCAUGUUCCUUUUUGUUGUUGGAUGUGGUUGUCCAUAAAACAGCUUUGAGAUUGUUUUAAUAUUAUAUAUUAGAACAGAGUUAAAAUAGGGAGAUUCUUUACCACAAACAAGCAGGUUUCUGUUAGUUGUGAAUGCUAUGUUUAUUAAAAAUAGUGAGUGAUGUUAAACUUUUGAGGCAGUUUCACAUUUACAUUUGGUGAUUUGUGUAAUUAACAAUUGGAUUUGACAAGAGAAAAGGGACAAUUAUAGCAAGUAACAGUAUUAAUGAUGUGGACUGGAGUGAAGAAUGUACAGAUUUUGGUGAUGUAUUAAGUAACAAUAAUGAAAUUCCUGGUGUCUGGGACCAGUACACCUUGAAAAAAUAUCAAUUUUAGAAAACGUUAGAAGAGGUCUUGUUUGUUAUAUGGUACCCUUUGCCGUGUUGUGAUGCAUAGUGUUCAAUAUUGAUUUUAUAUAGUUUAUCUGUGUAGAAGGAUUCUUUCAUCGUAGAAGGAUUCUUUCAUAGCAUGAGUGACAAGUGUAUCCAAAAGUUCUUGCUUUCAAAGUCAUGCUCUGAUACAGAACUUUGAAUCAAUUAAAAUAGAAAUAAUCUCUGAAUAAAAUAAGCCUAGCUUAUCUGUAGAAAAUUGAGAAAGGCAAGAAAUCUGGAUGUUUCUCAAGUAAAAUAAAGAAUAUCAGUCUGAAAAGACAAAGACUUCUGAAAAUUGAGCCUAGGGGGACAUGGCUUGAAAGAGACAGCCUUUUUAACAGUUUUUCUAUUAGAAAAUACAUGUAUGAUACUUGAAUUUGUGCUCUAGAAGUAAAGUAACGUGGGAGGAUUUGUUAAGACAGUAUUUCCUGAUAUAAAAUAUUGAUACCAAGAGUUUAGUUUUUCCCAUUCACUUAAUUGAUUUAGAUUUUAGAGAAGAAAUCUAUUUGUUAGUUAACCAUGAUAAAGACAGAGAAGAUUGGUAUGUUUGUCUUUGUCUAAUUUGGCCCUUAUUUCCAAAUACAUAACAUUUCCACCUGAUCAUUUGUUUGCUUUUAAUAUGAUUAUUUUCCAUUCCUAUAUCCACAUGGAAUACAAAAUUUCAAAAGUCUUUGAUAAGCUCAUAGUAAAUUCAUAUGAUAUUUAGUUGUCAUUAUAAAUUUCUAUCUCAGAUCUAGUUCUUUGGUAUGUAAUACAAUUCCCAUGUUUCCCACAUGAAGUCCUCACAACACAGAGAAUCCAAAUAACUUCUCCAUGGACAGUCAGAUAAUAUUAGUAACCCAUUUUCUAAGUCCUUGUUUGGUGUUUUCUUUCUAAUACACCACACUAAAACUUCACUAAAUGUUGAAGUUUUUCUCACAACGUUGCUCUUCCUAUUGUCUGAGAAUAAUUCUUAUAUUUUUCAUACUAUUCAGUGAUAUUUUACCCAAUUAAUCUAAACUUUUCAAAAAUUCUUAUAUUGUAUAAGUAGAUGUGAAUGUAUCAACAUAUUCCAAAGGUCUCUAGUGUGCUUAUACUAAUGAUUUUUUAAAUCUUGGAAAAUGGUAUAGGCUAUCUUAAUGUAGAAACAGAAAAUGAAUCAUAAUUAAAGGAAUAACUUGAUCUUUUACCCUAGUUGGAAAUAUUGCGGUAAAACAAGGGAAAUGUUAAUCACAAGUAUAUCAACUCAGUUUAAUAAGCUUCCAAAUGCAAAUGUCAACUAAAAGAUUGGAUACAAAAAUAUUUGUCAUGCAGUGUAUUCAAUGAAAAAUUUAAAGUAACAUUGUUAAAUAACAGUGACCCCACAAUGUUCUCAUAUCAAAUAACAGAAAUAAAAUCACAUUUUAAUAUACAAUUUAAAAUUAUAUUUACUUUUACUUCACUUUUUAAAUGUUCAAAGCUAUCUUGUUGAAUAAAGAAGAACAGAUCGGCUAUUGGAUUAGGGCAGAAUCAAAGUAAAAUUCUCAGUUUUUGCAAAACCCUGUUCACUUCUGUUGUGCUAUUUAUGAAAAUUGCAUGGUGGUCUGCCACUGCCACAUCUGGGUGACUUGUAAUGCUAACCAUUUAGGGGUGUGAGAAGGUGAUUUUUCACUGUGGGUUCAACCAACUUAUCAAUCAUGAAGCAUGCUCCUUAUACAUAUGUUGCUUAAUGACAAGGAUACAUUCUGAGAAACACAUCCUUAGGCAAUUUUGUCAUUGUAGGAACAACAUAGAAUGUACUUACAGAAACUUACAUGGUAUAGCCUACUAUACACCUAGGCUGUAUGGCAGCCUACUGCUUCUAGACUAGAAACCUGUACAGCCACAUGUUACUAUACUGAAUAAUGUAGCCCAUUGUAACACAAUGGUAAGUAUUUGUGUAUCUAAACACAACUAAAUAUAAAAAAGGCAUAGUAGGAAUACAGUAUUACAAGUUUAUGGGACCACCAUUGUAUAUCCAACCUGUCGCUGAUAGAUACAUCAUUAUGUGCCAUAUGACUACCAAAUCAUUCCUCUAUCAUAGCAGUGAGGGUUCACUAGAAAAAGUGGUGUAACUAUCUUUGUUUCAAAUUCAUCAAGAUAGAAAGUGGAUAUUUCAUCAAGAUAGAAAGUGGAUAUCCUUUUGACCAUUUAAUCCCGUUUAAUAGGUUUUCCUAUUUUAUUAAUUAUAAACAGUAACUGUAAAUGACUAUGUUCAUUCUUUUUCUCAAGCUUUUUAAAAAGGUUGUAGAUAUAAUCCCGAGAUAUGUAGGUAGAUAAACAGACAGACAGAUAGAUUGGCUCUUUAAAAUCUAUUUUGGUGCUCAAAUGAAAAUAAUCCAGUGGAAAAAUUGGCACUGAGAAGUCGCACCUAAAAUAAUCAAUAUUUUGUCCAAAGAAAAAUGUUUUAUGGAUUCACAUAAUUUGGCCAAGAACAAAAUGUUUUAAAUUGUGUAAAGGAUAGAUUUUAAUCCUCAUACCAGCUAAUUAAGCUUCUUCUGUACAACAUACAGUUUUAAGUUAACAGUAAUUAAUAUAGCCAGCUUGGAACCUCAGGAAGCUAAAGCCAGCAAGUGCUUUUUGGUUCACUCGAGAGGAUGCGGUUUGAUUGCUGGCGCCAGUAAACAGGUUGGGAAUUGUCAACAUUGUAAUUAGCAGCAAGUUUCUGGAUUCUCUGCCUGCCAGACUAGUGGGUUGAUGCUUGGAGCAGUUGCCCCAGUGGGGAGAGUGAAAAACAAAGGAAGGGAAUUUGAGCAACCUUGGUAGGCUCUGCCAGCAUAUGCCACUGGACCAAUGUUUUUCUUGGCAAAGGUCUAUUUUAAGACAUCUAGCCGUGGUUUCCAUAAAAUAUGAAACUCACCAUAGCAACCAAAAUGGCAAGUGUCUCUAGGAACCUUUCCUUGAUUGGGUAUCAGGUCAAACUGUGUUCAGAGUGAUAUUGCCUUACGUGCAGUAUGCUGUGUACCGUGUACAAUGUGGUUAUUAACAGUAUGAUUAAAAGGGUUAAAAUCUGUUUUGGCAGCAAUCCUUCAAAAGUCUGCCUCUGCCAAAAAGCCUUCAAAGAAUAAGGUUAUGCAAACCUUAUUAACCCUUCGUGUAGUGCAAAUAGAAAGGAAAUGUCAACCUGAAUACCACCCAGCAUCCAAUCUUCACUACUUACUUAAAUGAUGGUUUCAAUCUAGUUUUCUUAAUUCCAAACCAUGUGAUUGUUAUGAACAAAGGUUGUCAUAGAUUUUAAAUCCAAACCUUAUUGCAGUGACUAUAAGAUGAGGACUACAUUAGUACAGUUUAUAGGUAAUUUAUAACCCAACUGAACAAAAAUUAGACUAUCUUUUGAAACCUACUUAAUAAAAGUUCAUGUUAUAUAUGUAUAGACACACACAUAUGUAAAAUUUCACUCUCUUAGAAUAUUUUAUCUUAUCUAAAAUAAACAACAUGUAUACUCUGAGUAGUCACAGGAUAAAUACUAACCCACCUACCUUGUGGCAAAAGCACGAUAACAAAUCCUUUGGCCUUUUCUUUCUUUCUUUUUUUUUUUUUUUU